UACGUAGGGUGCAAGCGUUGUCCGGAAUUAUUGGGCGUAAAGAGCUCGUAGGCGGUCUGUCGCGUCGGAUGUGAAAACCCAGGGCUUAACCCUGGGCCUGCAUUCGAUACGGGCAGACUAGAGUUCGGUAGGGGAGACUGGAAUUCCUGGUGUAGCGGUGAAAUGCGCAGAUAUCAGGAGGAACACCGGUGGCGAAGGCGGGUCUCUGGGCCGAUACUGACGCUGAGACGCGAAAGCGUGGGGAGCAAACAGG
rnacentral:rRNA from 1 species